GCAACCCUUAUCCUUUGUUGCCAGCGGUUAGGCCGGGAACUCAAAGGAGACUGCCAGUGAUAAACUGGAGGAAGGUGGGGAUGACGUCAAGUCAUCAUGGCCCUUACGAGUAGGGCUACACACGUGCUACAAUGGCGCAUACAAAGAGAAGCGACCUCGCGAGAGCAAGCGGACCUCAUAAAGUGCGUCGUAGUCCGGAUUGGAGUCUGCAACUCGACUCCAUGAAGUCGGAAUCGCUAGUAAUCGUGGAUCAGAAUGCCACGGUGAAUACGUUCCCGGGCCUUGUACACACCGCCCGUCACACCAUGGGAGUGGGUUGCAAAAGAAGUAGGUAGCUUAACCUUCGGGAGGGCGCUUACCACUUUGUGAUUCAUGACUGGGGUGAAGUCGUAACAAGGUAACCGUAGGGGAACCUGCGGUUGGAUCACCUCCUUA
rnacentral:rRNA from 1 species